AGCCAUGCGAGUCGAGAGGGUUCGGCCCUCGGCGGACUGCUCAGUAACACGUGGAUAAUCUGCCCUUAGGUGGAGGAUAACCUCGGGAAACUGAGAAUAAUACUCCAUAGGUCUAGGAUGCUGGAAUGCAUCUAGACUCAAAGAUUUAUCGCCUAAGGAUGAGUCUGCGGACUAUCAGGUUGUAGUCAGGGUAAUGGCCUGACUAGCCUACGACGGAUACGGGUUGCGAGAGCAAUAACCCGGAGACGAUAUCUGAGACACGAUAUCGGGCCCUACGGGGCGCAGCAGGCGCGAAAACUUCGCACUGUGCGAAAGCACGACGAGGGGAUCCCAAGUGCUGGCUCGUAAGAGUCAGCUGUUUCUUUGUCUAAAAAACAGAGAGAGUAAGAGCUGGGUAAGACGGGUGCCAGCCGCCGCGGUAAUACCUGCAGCUCAAGUGGUGGCCGCUAUUAUUGGGCCUAAAACGUCCGUAGCCGGUUCUAUAAAUGCCUGGGUAAAUCGUACGGCUUAACCGUACGAAUUCCGGGUAGACUGUUUAACUUGGGACCGGGAGAGGCUAGAGGUACUCCUGGGGUAGAGGUGAAAUUCUGUAAUCCUAGGGGGACCACCAGUGGCGAAGGCGUCUAGCUAGAACGGGUCUGACGGUGAGGGACGAAGCCCUGGGGAGCAAACGGGAUUAGAUACCCCGGUAGUCCAGGGUGUAAACGCUGCUCGCUUGAUGUUAGUCGGGCUCCGAGCCCAAACUAGUGUCGGAGAGAAGUUGUUAAGC
rnacentral:rRNA from 1 species